UUGGAGCACAAAGACAUAAGUAUGGUAGAAACAACACAAGAGGCUAAUAUUGCGUUUAGAAGACAUAUAGCAAUUCUUCUAAUGAAGGAGUCAGAAAACGUGGAAGACUACUGCAUAUACUGCAACCUCGUCAACUGUGAAAAGGAAAGUGAGGAUUGCACGAUGGUACAGUGUGAUUCUUGCAAGAGAUGGGCACAUAUGCCCUGCAUUACAGAAGGAACCAAUCAAGACUACCUGACUGAUGCCAAGAAAGAGUACAACUGCAAGAAAUGUGCAUAGUUCACUUCUUUACCCCCCCAAAAAAUUUGUUUAAAUGCCUCUUGUUCAAAACAUAAUGCAACCAAAAGAC